rnacentral:lncRNA from 10 species
CAUGAAGCCAAGUUUGUGACAGUGACAAACUUAAAGAGGUUACAAUUUUGAAAUAUGAUUGCCAUGAGUUGGUGGGGGCAGCAGUCAUCUGAAGGCUCAACUGGGCUGGACAUGCAAGAUGGUGCCCUCAGGUGCUGGAAAUUGGUGCUAGAUGUUGACUGAGACUUUAGCUGGGACAUCAAACAGAGAGCCUACAUGUGAUCUCUCCAUAUGGCCUGGGAUCCUACAUAGCAUGACUUCCUGGGGGCGUCAGACUCCUUACACUGGUCGAGAGUCCAAGGAAGCCAACUGGGAGCUGAAUUGUACUUCUGCUGCAUUUAAUUGGAUAUGAACAAGUAAUAAAGAGCAGCCCAACAUCAAGGGGAGACAGACCCUACCUCUCCAGGGAAGGAAUGUCAAAGAAUUAGCGGGCAUGUUGUGAAGUUGCC